ensembl:lncRNA
CUUCUUCCCUCUGACAUUCACACCCACAACACUCACAAAACGGGGGGAAAAAAGCCGUGCUGCGCCGUCUGUUCGCAAUUCCCAGCCCUGACAUUUGGUUUCCGCUGUUUUUCUGAACCUUGUGGAGAUAACUCUCGCUCCCUUUCCCUCCCGCCUCCCUUCUGUCCCAGCGGGGACACGACAAGGUGACAGCAUCCAUCACCCGUCAACCGUCAGACGUCAUCUGCUGACUGCCGUCCCAGAGCGAGGAGUCCAACCUUCCCAGUUGAAUCAACCCCCCUGACUGGCACAAUGAAGUGGAGGAAGACAAAUUCCUACCUUUGGUCACAAGCAGAAAGACGUCUGGACAACAAAAUGCACGUGGAAAAGCCUGGAAACAGAGAGCAGUGGAGAAGUGCCGAAUACACACAUCACAGAGUAAAGGAGAUUACACGUGAAGACUUGAUUGGCCCUUUCAGAGACGGAGGCAAAAUGUCCGGAAAAGGCAUCUUUGUAGCAGAGAGAAAUUUACAUCGGGUUGUGAACAGUAGACGGAUACAGACACAUGAAUAUAUGUACUGUUUUUUAAUGGGGUGAUUUAAUUGGCUGAAAAUUAGUUCCAAUGACAGCUACUGUAUUUACGAUGCGGUUUGUGACCUUGUUUUGCGACCUAACCCCGUAAAAGCAAACAUGCAACUUGGAUGGCAGCAGCAUGCUUCCUCUCAGGUUGCACACUGAUUCUAAUGCAUACGUAAUGCUGUUUACAGCCGCGACAGCAGCGCCAGAUUGUUUUUCACCUCCCGGUGGAAAAAUGUGCUCCUGGAGACGCCUACUAAAGCAAGAAUUAGCGCAGAGGCAGUUUUGUGUGUUUGUACAUAGUCAUCAAAAUUGACUGAUAUGUAGUAAAGAUCAAAAUUUGAGUUUAUUACCUCCAAAUUUUACACCCGUUUCCCAAUAAGGAAUCACAAAGCUUCAGGUGUGUAGUUGAGAUCAAAAUGAAGGAAUAAAUGAGUGUGUGUGUGAUUGCAAGUAAUGUUCUCACGUCGUUACUGUCGACAAUAGAAUUGUGUAUUUUUGCUGUGGAUGAAGUGUGGCAUAGCUGGGUUAUGCCUACAUUUAAAUUGUUUGUUUGUGAAUGUCUUCAUAUGUUUUUUUUAGGGCUUUCAACAUAAACGCAUUAAUCUAUGCGGUUAAUGCAGCCGAAAGUAACGCAACAAAAAGUUUUAACGUAGUUAACGUAUGUUUGUUUACUUUCGGGACCGGAAAUUAACAAUUAAUCAACACUGUUUAAAAUGCUUGCUCAUUUAUUUUUAAUAAGAACAAACAUUCAUUAAAAACAACAUUGUAACAACAACAACAUGCAAUGAAUUUCAAAAUGUGCGAUUAAAUAGUUCAUUUUUUAAAAUCUA